rnacentral:siRNA from 1 species
ACGGAAAUUACCGCGUAAUCUGCC